GCACGUUUUACUUUCCACUGGUGUGAUCAUUUGGCACUGUCUUUGUUCCUUCUAUUGGCCUGGAGGAUGUCAUGGCACAUGUAGAACCCCCUACUAAAUUCACCCAACAAGCCUGAAGUAAUAGCUAGCAAAGCCUGUUCACUUCACCAAGCACUGAAAUGUCUCUCCUGAGAAAAGCUGUCCUCCCAAACAGGAUGGCCUUGGACAUGAUUACUGCUUGCAGGAUGUGCCUGUGCCAUUAUUCAGACAGAAUGCCAGGAAGCCACCAAAGCAGCCACCUCCAUGCUCCUGAAACCCCUUGCUGACUGCUCAGGGCACAUAGUGGAAGAUGUGGGUGUGUAAGAUCCUAAGACUGUCAUCAGGGGUGGAACGUCAGAAGAGGUCAUUGAGAGGACAUGAUGUGGGAGCUGUUUCCAGUGACUCAGGCUUGAGGAAGCACUGUGCUAAUGUGUUGGGAGGAAGCACUGUGCUAAUGUGUUGGGAGGAAGCACUGUGCUAAUGUGUAUGUGACCACCCCGGCGAAGGCCUCUCAACCUUUAAGAUGCUGGCAGGUGAU